rnacentral:rRNA from 1 species
GGCUGAAACCCGCCUCCAUGAAGUUGGAUUCGCUAGUAAUCGCGCAUCAGCCAUGGCGCGGUGAAUACGUUCCCGGGCCUUGUACACACCGCCCGUCAAGCCAUGGGAGCCGGGGGUGCCUGAAGUUCGUGACCGCAAGGAGCGACCUAGGGCAAAACUGGUGACUGGGGCUAAGUCGUAACAAGGUAUC